rnacentral:rRNA from 1 species
UACGGGGGGGGCAAGCGUUGUUCGGAAUUACUGGGCGUAAAGGGUUCGUAGGUGGCUUGCUAAGUCAGACGUGAAAUCCCCGGGCUCAACCCGGGAACUGCGUCCGAUACUGGCAGGCUUGAAUCCGGGAGAGGGAUGCGGAAUUCCAGGUGUAGCGGUGAAAUGCGUAGAUAUCUGGAGGAACACCGGUGGCGAAGGCGGCAUCCUGGACCGGCAUUGACGCUGAGGCGCGAAAGCCAGGGGGAGCAAAACGGGG